rnacentral:rRNA from 1 species
UACGUAGGGUGCGAGCGUUUAAUCGGAAUUACUGGGCGUAAAGCGUGCGCAGGCGGUGAUGUAAGACAGAUGUGAAAUCCCCGGGCUCAACCUGGGAACUGCAUUUGUGACUGCAUCGCUGGAGUGCGGCAGAGGGGGAUGGAAUUCCGCGUGUAGCAGUGAAAUGCGUAGAUAUGCGGAGGAACACCGAUGGCGAAGGCAAUCCCCUGGGCCUGCACUGACGCUCAUGCACGAAAGCGUGGGGAGCAAACAGG